GAUGAACGCUGGCGGCGUGCCUAAUACAUGCAAGUCGAGCGAACGGACGAGAAGCUUGCUUCUCUGAUGUUAGCGGCGGACGGGUGAGUAACACGUGGAUAACCUACCUAUAAGACUGGGAUAACUUCGGGAAACCGGAGCUAAUACCGGAUGAUAUUUUGAACCGCAUGGUUCAAAAGGGAAAGACGGUCUUGCUGUCACUUAUAGAUGGAUCCGCGCUGCAUUAGCUAGUUGGUAAGGUAACGGCUUACCAAGGCAACGAUGCAUAGCCGACCUGAGAGGGUGAUCGGCCACACUGGAACUGAGACACGGUCCAGACUCCUACGGGAGGCAGCAGUAGGGAAUCUUCCGCAAAGGGCGAAAGCCUGACGGAGCAACGCCGCGUGAGUGAUGAAGGUCUUCGGAUCGUAAAACUCUGUUAUUAGGGAAGAACAUAUGUGUAAGUAACUGUGCACAUCUUGACGGUACCUAAUCAGAAAGCCACGGCUAACUACGUG
rnacentral:rRNA from 1 species